UUGUUUUUUGGGGAUUACAUGUUUCCAGAUGAAGAUAUUAGAGUGUAUGAUGAAGUACAAGAUUUAGAACAAUUAUCAGAAGUCAUGAAUGGAUACCUAAAUGAUUAUAAUCAGAUGAGCAAAACUCCUAUGCAUUUGGUUUUAUUUAAAUUUGCCAUCGAGCAUAUUUCACGUAUAUCUCGAGUUUUAAAGCAAGAUAAUGGCCAUGUUCUUCUUGUUGGUAUUGGUGGAAGUGGAAGACAAAGUGCUGCUAGAUUAGCAACAUACAUGGCAGGCUAUGAGAUAUUUCAGAUUGAGAUAACAAAAAAUUAUACAAAUACUGAAUGGCGUGAUGACCUUAAAAAGGUCCUCCGAAAAGCUGGGGCAGAUGGAAAAGCAACUGUCUUCCUUUUCAAUGAUAACCAAAUAAAAGAUGAAUCAUUUGUGGAAGACAUCAAUAUGAUUUUAAACACAGGAGAUGUUCCUAACCUUUAUGCUGCAGAUGAAAAAGCAGAGAUUUUAGAAAAGAUGCAGACAGCUGCCAGAGACUGUGGCAAGAAAGUUGAUACUACUCCUCUGUCUCUGUAUAAUUUUUUUAUAGAAAGGGUGCGUCAAAAUCUUCAUUUAGUACUUGCAAUGAGUCCUAUUGGUGGAGCUUUCCGUAAUAGGUUGAGGAUGUUUCCAUCUCUCAUAAACUGUUGCACCAUCGAUUGGUUUCAGUCUUGGCCUGAUGAUGCUUUGGAAAUGGUGGCUAAUAAAUUUCUUCAGAGUGCUGAUAUUGAUUCUAAAAUCCGAUUAGCUUGUGUUAAAAUGUGCAAGCACUUCCAUCAAAGUGUAUACAAUAUGUCUGAGAGAUAUUACUUUGAGCUGCAACGAAAAAAUUAUGUAACACCUACAUCAUAUUUAGGACUCAUUCUAACAUUUAAAGAACUUUUAGCUAAAAAGCAAGGUGAUUUGCUAAACCAAAGGAACCGUUAUAUUGUUGGUUUAGAAAAAUUAGACUUUGCUGCCUCUCAAAUAGCUAUAAUGCAAGAUCAGAUUACUGCCUUACAACCAGAACUUGUGAAAAAAGCUGAAGAAAUUGAGAGUCUUAUGGUUGUAAUAGAAGCAGAAACUGUAGAUGUUGAGUCCCAAAAAGAGUUAGUUGCUGCAGAAGAAGCUGUAGCUAAUAAGAAAGCUGCUCAAGCACAAGCUAUUAAAGAUGAUUGUGAACGAGAUUUAGCUGAAGCUAUACCAGCUAUGGAAGCUGCUGUUGCUGCUUUGAAUACACUGAAGCCUGCUGAUAUUACUGUUGUCAAGGCAAUGAAAAACCCUCCUCCUGGUGUGAAGCUUGUAAUGGAAGCUAUCUGUAUUAUGCGAGGUAUAAAGCCAGAACGAAAGCCUGAUCCCAGUGGUUCUGGCAAAAUGAUUGAAGAUUAUUGGGGUCCUUCUCAAAAAAUGUUAGGUGAUCUGAAAUUUUUGGAUGCUUUAAAAUCAUAUGACAAAGAUAACAUCCCAGAACCCAUCAUUCAGAGAAUUCGUCAAAAGUACUGUACAAAUCCAGAUUUUGACCCUGCUGUUAUAAAAAAAGUAUCAGUGGCUUGUGAAGGAUUAUGUCGUUGGGUAAGAGCUAUGGAUGUAUAUAAUCGUGUCAAUAAAGUUGUUGCCCCGAAAAAGAUAAAGCUGAAAGAAGCUACAGCUGAAGUUGCAGUUCAGAUGAAAGCUUUAAAUGAAAAGAAAAAAGCUCUGAAAGCUGUCACAGAUAAGCUGCAGGAACUCAAUGACACAUUUACUAGCAAAACCAAAGAAAAAAAAGAUUUGGAAGAGAAUUUAGAGCUUUGUGAACAAAAGAAAGAGCGAGCUACAAAAAUGAUUGAUGGUUUGGGUGGUGAAAAGGACAGAUGGAGUGCAGCAGCUGAAAGUCUUACUCUUGCUUAUAAUAAUAUUGUUGGUGAUGUUCUUCUGUCUUCAGGAGUUAUUGCUUAUUUAGGAGCAUUUACAGUUGAUUUCAGACAGGAAUGUACAUCAUCAUGGAAAUAUCUCUGCAAAGAAUCAGGUAUACCAUGUUCCGAUGAUUUUUCAGUCAUAGAAACAUUAGGUGAGCCUGUAUUAAUCAGAGCUUGGCAAAUUGCUGGACUACCUGUUGAUAAUUUUUCUGUGGAAAACAGUAUCAUUGUAAAAUUUGGAAGAAGAUGGCCUUUACUUAUAGAUCCUCAAGGGCAAGCAAGCAAAUGGAUUAAAAAUAUGGAAAAAGACAAUAACUUAGAUGUAAUAAAAUUAACAGAUAGCAAUUAUAUACGUGUUUUAGAAUAUGCUUUGCAGUUUGGUCAUCCUGUUCUGCUUGAAAAUGUUGGAGAAGAAUUAGAUCCAAUUCUAGAACCUAUACUGACUAAAGCAAUUUAUAAAGAAGGAGGAAUGGAGAUGAUAAAAAUUGGUGAUAAUGUGGUACAAUAUUCACAAGGUUUCAGGUUUUACAUCACAACCAGACUACAGAAUCCUCACUAUUUACCUGAAAUUUCUGUUAAGGUGACCUUGAUUAAUUUCAUGAUUACUCCACUUGGACUGCAAGAUCAACUGUUAGGCAUAGUUGCUGCAAAAGAAAAUCCAGCUCUAGAAGAAAGUAAAAAUAAAUUGAUAUUAGAGAGUGCAGAAAACAAGCGUCAGUUGAAGGAAAUUGAAGAUCGUAUUUUGGAAGUACUUUCAUCCUCUGAGGGUAAUAUAUUGGAAGAUGAAACAGGGUGCAAAGUAUUAACAUCUUCAAAGAUAUUAUCUGAAGAAAUAUCUGCUAAGGAGAAAGUUGCUGAAGAAACCAAAGUAGAAAUUGAUUCUGUUCGUUAUGGUUAUCAACCUGUUGCUGUGCAUUCUUCAAUCCUUUUCUUCUGUAUUUCAAGUCUAAGUAAUAUUGACCCAAUGUAUCAGUAUUCCCUUGCAUGGUUCAUAGCUUUAUAUUAUCAAUCUAUUGAAAAUAGUGAAAAGUCUCCUGAACUUGAAAAACGAAUCAGCUGCUUGAAUGAGCAUUUUACUGCCAGUAUAUACAGGAAUGUCUGUAGAUCCUUAUUUGAAAAAGAUAAACUACUUUUCUCCUUUCUUCUUUGUAUAGGUAUCUUACGUGGAAGGAAUGAAGUAGAUGAAGAUACAUGGCGAUUUCUGCUGACUGGUGGUGUUGCUUUAGAAAAUCCAUAUCCAAAUCCUGCUCCAGAGUGGCUCACUGAUCGUGCAUGGUCAGAAAUUGUACGAGCUUCUAAUUUACCUCCAUUAGAAGGAUUAAUGGAAAGUGUUCAGAAUAGAGUUUCUAGUUGGAAAGAAGUAUAUGAUUCACCUAAUCCACAUACCAUUGAGUAUCCUGCUCCAUUUGGGGAAUUAGAUGGGCUUAAUAAAAUGGCUGUACUGCGAUGUCUUCGACCAGAUAAGCUCAUUCCAGCUGUGCAGAAUUUUGUCUGGAAAAACAUGGGUCAGUCUUAUAUUGAACCUCCAACUUUUGAUUUGGUUGGAUCAUAUGCAGAUUCCAACUGCUGCAUACCUCUCAUCUUUGUUCUUUCACCUGGAGCUGAUCCAAUGGCUGCUUUAUUGAAAUUUGGAUAUGACAUUGACAUGACAGGCAACAAAAUUCAAAGCAUAUCUUUGGGACAAGGACAAGGUCCCAUAGCAAAAUCUAUGAUAGAUAAAGCUUUAGAAGAUGGUUCUUGGGUAGUUCUGCAAAACUGCCACUUAGCUACAAGCUGGAUGAAUACAUUAGAAAACAUAUGUGAAGAAAUCAUAACUCCAGAUAAGACUAACAUAAAUUUCCGCUUAUGGCUAACUAGUUAUCCAUCAGACACUUUUCCUGUCUCCAUCCUCCAAAAUGGGGUGAAGAUGACAAAUGAACCACCAAAAGGACUGAAAGCCAACCUUUUGCGCUCAUACAUCAGUGAUCCUAUAUCAAAUCCUUCUUUUUAUGAUGGCUGUGAUAAGCCAGAAUUAUGGCAUAAGUUUCUGUUUGGCCUGUGUUUCUUCCAUGCUUUAGUGCAAGAAAGAAGAAAAUUUGGUCCGUUAGGGUGGAAUAUUCCAUAUGAAUUCAAUGAAUCAGACUUGAGAAUCAGUAUGACACAACUUCAGAUGUUCUUGAAUGAUUAUGAUGAAUUACCUUUAGAUGCUUUGACAUAUUUAACAGGAGAAUGCAAUUAUGGUGGACGCGUAACAGAUGAUAAAGACCGUAGACUUCUAUUGUCACUGCUAUCUUUAGUGUACACCAAAGAUCUUAUAACUGAUGAAUGUUAUAAGUUUUCAGAAAGUGGCCUUUAUCAUAUUCCUAAAGGACAUGAAAGAGAAGAUUUUAUAGAAUAUAUACGCAAUUUACCUAUUAAUCCACAUCCUGAAGUGUUUGGUCUGCAUGAAAAUGCUGAUAUUACAAAAGAUAAUCAAGAAACACAACAACUUUUAGAUGGAAUUUUGUUAACUCAAGCUAGAUCUACUGGAGCUGGAGCACAAACUUCCGGUGAUAUGAUAUAUGAUUUAGCUGCUGAUAUUCUAGGAAAAUUGCCACCAGAUUUUGAUAUUGAAAUGGUGAUAGAACUUUAUCCAGUAGUUUACACAGAGUCAAUGAACACUGUACUGCGCCAAGAAUUGAUCCGUUUCAAUAGGUUAACCUCUGUUGUCCGUGAAUCAUUAAAAAAUUUACAAAAAGCAGUCAAGGGCUUGGUUGUUAUGUCUGCCGAACUUGAAGAAGUAUUUGAUUGCAUGUUGAUAGGAAAAGUGCCAACAAUGUGGGCAAGCAAAUCAUAUCCUUCCUUAAAGCCCUUGGGCAGUUACAUGGCAGACUUGCUAGCAAGCUAUCCUGUAUUUUAAAGAAGAAUCAAAUUUUGAGUUUAGUCAUAGAAGUUUACCGUUUACCUUUUAAAGCUCAAAUUUUUCAGUACUUGGAUUGAAAAGGGCGCACCAAAUGUGUUUUGGAUAUCAGGAUUCUUUUUUACGCAAUCCUUUUUGACAGGAGCUUCGCAAAAUUA
rnacentral:misc_RNA from 1 species